rnacentral:piRNA from 1 species
UGCCAGCAAAGAACACAAGGCAGUGUGGAGC